CAGAGACUCAUCCCACAGGAGUUUUUAUGUCAGACAGAAAGGAUAAACGUGACUCCAAGAACACUCUUUGGAGACAUGUACCCAGAUACUGCUUCCCAUAUAGAGACAAGACGAGUAGGAUUUCCCAACAUGCAGAGGAAGAAGACCAGAGAAUCAUUAUCGCAGCAGGGUCUGAAGAGAUCAGGAGAAUGACAGAGACCAAGAGGAAGAGCCAGAACGUUAGGAUAAACAAGGAAGGGGGAAGAAGCUUCUGAUACUACCAGACCUUGUUUCAUCACUCCAGCCCCAACGUAGGGCUGAGACAGGAGAAAGAGCAGAAGCCAAGAAGAAUUACUCUGACACGUUAAUAACUUUGCCCAUUGGACUUGGUGUUUUAGGAAUGUUACC
rnacentral:lncRNA from 1 species